CAGAGACAGAUCACAAUAAACCAGAGAGUAUUUCCUGCCUGAUUUUGCCUGACUUUCUGGUCAGAAUAGGUAGGCAAUAGCUUUCUGCCAAAUGGUGCCUAGACCCACAAUCAGUACAUGCAUUAGGCACUUUAGGCACAGGACCCAGGACCCACAAUACUCUUAAAGACCUAUCAAAAUGUUUUCAUUUAUUUUAAAAGCAUAAGAAAAAAAAUAAACUUUUAGGUCAAAGAAAAUGUCUUAAUAUGUAAUGUUAACACAUUCGUCUCGAUACCAACGCAGUCAUAAAAUAUCAUUUUUACUUUCAUUUUUAAUGGAGGAAAGGGCCCGCGAAUGCAGAAGUACUCAGGACCGAUGAACUCAUUGUGUGGCCCUGCCGAGACUCUUCCCACAGGACCAGAAGGCAUUGCUGAGUUCAAGAGUGAGGAUGAAUGGAAGCCAGACAGCUGCUUGGUAACCCGACUGAUAGCAGGACCCACAACAUCACUGGAGGGAUAAUGAGAUGAAGAGAUUAUUAUUUGUGGUUGGCAGAUGCUUUUAUCAGCUACUUGGGAUGAGAGAGAGGGAGACACAGGGAGGAGGUAAGAAGACCAAGUACCCUCAUCAAGCUGCCUUCAGAGGUGGGUGGUUCCUCAGAGCCCAUGUUUUAUGAGGAUACAAGCCUGAGGCCAGAGCUAAGAAGCAGAGGAUGCCUAAAGGCUGCUACCAAGGUUACGCCUUCUUCUCAGUCCAUCCACCACAGAAUCCUCAGCCUGGCUUCCAAAACACACAUUUAAAAAAUUUGAUUUGAAGGAGUGACAAAUACUUACUACCUGGGCUAGUCGCAGCCUAGACCCACUUGGUAGAAAUGCAUUACAACCCCUGCUACCUGCUCCUCUCAUCAGCUUCUCCCCCAGCCAUGUUUCCUUUGAUCUCACACAAAUAAUUAUUUUCCUUUCUUCUUGUAUUCUUCAUAACCACCUUUAUUCCUCUUUUAACUUUUCAUCUUCAAUACAUUCAUUCAAACUCAUUAAUAUGUUUGAGCAUCUAUUAUUUAACAGUAUAUAAUACUAUGAGAUACUUUACUAGGCAGAAAAAAGGGAAACUCUGUAAUUUUUUUGCUAAAUUUCACUUCAUUCUUUUAAAUUAACAUUUCUUAAUUGAGAUAUAAUUGACAUACAACAUUGUAUUAGUUUCAGAUGUACAUCAUAAUGAUUCAAUAUAUGUAUAUAUUGCAAAAUGAUC
rnacentral:lncRNA from 1 species